rnacentral:rRNA from 1 species
GUCGAGCGGAGAUGAGGUGCUUGCACCUUAUCUUAGCGGCGGACGGGUGAGUAAUGCUUAGGAAUCUGCCUAUUAGUGGGGGACAACAUUCCGAAAGGAAUGCUAAUACCGCAUACGUCCUACGGGAGAAAGCAGGGGAUCUUCGGACCUUGCGCUAAUAGAUGAGCCUAAGUCGGAUUAGCUAGUUGGUGGGGUAAAGGCCUACCAAGGCGACGAUCUGUAGCGGGUCUGAGAGGAUGAUCCGCCACACUGGGACUGAGACACGGCCCAGACUCCUACGGGAGGCAGCAGUGGGGAAUAUUGGACAAUGGGGGGAACCCUGAUCCAGCCAUGCCGCGUGUGUGAAGAAGGCCUUAUGGUUGUAAAGCACUUUAAGCGAGGAGGAGGCUACUGAGACUAAUACUCUUGGAUAGUGGACGUUACUCGCAGAAUAAGCACCGGCUAACUCUGUGCCAGCAGCCGCGGUAAUACAGAGGGUGCGAGCGUUAAUCGGAUUUACUGGGCGUAAAGCGUGCGUAGGCGGCUUUUUAAGUCGGAUGUGAAAUCCCCGAGCUUAACUUGGGAAUUGCAUUCGAUACUGGGAAGCUAGAGUAUGGGAGAGGAUGGUAGAAUUCCAGGUGUAGCGGUG